AGGACAUGGCCUCUGAGUACCCA
rnacentral:siRNA from 1 species